CGCCUCUGGUUUCUUUUUCCAUAAUGCACGAAGUCUUUAGCCUUUUACUAAAGACUUCCGUGGGAGAGAACACAAAUGAGUUGAACCUAUUUUUGGCUCUGCGUUUGGCUGAGC